rnacentral:rRNA from 1 species
GACGAACGCUGGCGGUAUGCCUAAUACAUGCAAGUCGAACGCUGAAACACUCUGCUUGCAGAGUGUGGAUGAGUGGCGAACGGGUGAGUAACACGUGGGGAACCUGCCCAUAAGAGGGGGAUAACAUCCGGAAACGGGUGCUAAUACCGCAUAGGUGAUCAUAGCGCAUGCUUAGAUCAUUAAAGAUGGCUUCGGCUAUCGCUUAUGGAUGGCCCCGCGGCGUAUUAGCUAGUUGGUGAGGUAAUGGCUCACCAAGGCUGUGAUACGUAGCCGACCUGAGAGGGUGAUCGGCCACACUGGAACUGAGACACGGUCCAGACUCCUACGGGAGGCAGCAGUAGGGAAUCUUCCACAAUGGGCGAAAGCCUGAUGGAGCAAUACCGCGUGAGUGAAGAAGGUCUUCGGAUCGUAAAGCUCUGUUGUUAGAGAAGAACAAGAGGUGUAGUAACUGGCACCUCCUUGACGGUAUCUAACCAGAAAGUCACGGCUAACUACGUGCCAGCAGCCGCGGUAAUACGUAGGUGACAAGCGUUGUCCGGAUUUAUUGGGCGUAAAGCGAGCGCAGGCGGUCUUUUAAGUCUGAUGUGAAAGCCCACGGCUCAACCGUGGAGGGUCAUUGGAAACUGGAAGACUUGAAUGCAGAAGAGGAAAGUGGAAUUCCAUGUGUAGCGGUGAAAUGCGUAGAUAUAUGGAGGAACACCAGUGGCGAAGGCGACUUUCUGGUCUGUAAUUGACGCUGAGGCUCGAAAGCGUGGGGAGCGAACAGGAUUAGAUACCCUGGUAGUCCACGCCGUAAACGAUGAGUGCUAAGUGUUGGAGGGUUUCCGCCCUUCAGUGCUGGAGCUAACGCAUUAAGCACUCCGCCUGGGGAGUACGG